UAAUACCAAAAUGAUCACAUAUUUGUUAUUUGUUUCUACUUCUAUUUUGGUGCAAUUGAAAAUUCAAAUGGCAAUAUUAUUGUUUUGUGUUUGUUGUGUAUAUAUACUGUGUGUUAUUUUAAUAUAAUAGUUUGUGGAUUGUAUUGCUAUUGUAUUGUUGAAAUCUACAAAUUAUUAAUAGCACUGUUUCACUGCUUAGUUAUGAAUGGUUUAUAUUUAUAUAACUUUUGUUUAAUUGGUUUAAUUUAAUAUGUGCAUAGUGUAUUCCAUCACCGGUGACUAUUAUGUAGCAUAACCUUACUUUUUUAUACCAGAUUCAAUAUAAUAAUACUAUAAUAGAUCAAUACAAUAUAAUAAUCUCUUAUUUUAAUCGUGUUUGUCGUUGAUACUCAGUUAAUCUGUCUUGAUUAAUUUCUAACCUAUUUCUAUAUUUAUUGGCUGUUUCUAUUUCUUUUUGAUUAGUUUGUUGUUAUUUCAUACUUGUCAUUUGCUGUUAUUUCAUAUUUGUAUGGUUCUCCGAUUCUAUUUUUUCAACGCUGCGUUGCUUGCUUGGAACAUUUACACAGUGCGUCUUUUGCAUCGUCUGGUUUUUCAUUACAUUGUCAACACUUAUUAUGACUACUUUUAUUUAUGUUAGAUCUGUUAUAAUUGUCAAUCUUAAUAUUUAUUACCUUCGGUAUUCUUGUACCUGUAAGUAAAAUGGUCUCCGUUUCUUUUUCAUUGGCAAGUGUAAGUCUGUUGUCGCACAUCAAUUAUUGACCAUUAUCAUCGCUUAUUUUAGUUUAACUUUAAUAUUAAGUUAUAAAUAUUUAAUAUCAUUCUUUUCCUUUUUUUUUUAUUAAGGCAAUUGAGGUUAAUCUAUCCAUUUCUUUCAGUUGACCAUUGUAUACUAUGUUCUACAAAAAUGGAUCUAUAACCAAUCCCUGUGGAAUUCCUGCAUAUACAUUUCUUUCUACGAUAAUUAAUUAUGUACAAGCUUCAUUGAUUUAUAAGGUUCUCCUAUCUUCAUUAUUCGGCAAGCAGCAUUAUACUAUAUAUUACCAUACUACGUCGUCUCUUAAAAUCGUUUUGGCUAUUGUUUAUUUCGAUACUUUAUUUCCGUUACCAAACAUUGUACAACUGAGAAGUUAUCAGAGAAGAGAAUAUACAAAUUUAAAUUCUCACCUUAAAUGUAUGCGGAGUCGAUCGAGUUUUAUUGUACCACUUGGCGGUUAAUCGAACUUCGACAAUUUAUAGAAUGACGGCGAACUGGCAAAAUGACGGCGUGAACACUUCGAUUUUGAAAUGUGGAAACAUUCAAGGUGCGUGAUAAGAUGUGGAUAUUGUAACAGUUUAUCUUUUGCUGAAGUUGCGUCUGCGAUGCUUCUGAAACCCUCCAUACCGAGAGCGUAAGAGCGGCAGUGGGCAUCUCAUUGUUCUGUCGAGUCUUCAUACGUGUAGCAUGUAACGUCAAUAAAUAUCUACAACAGGUUCAGGAAACUUGAACCGCCUUCCACACGAUACCAACUUCCAAAACAAAGGAAUAUGAAUUCGACACUUAGGCAUAAGAUAAACGAACAUCUAGAAGGGCUGGGCCUUGAUCGAGGCUUCAGCCUUUGGGUAACGGUCUAAUCGCAAACUUGUAAUCUUAUUAUAGAAUAAAGGUAUCUUGAACUCUGGUUCAAGAACCCAACA